rnacentral:rRNA from 1 species
GACAGAGGGUGCUAGCGUUGUUCGGAAUUACUGGGCGUAAAGGGCGCGUAGGCGGCUCGUUUAGUCGGGUGUGAAAUCCCGGGGCUCAACCCCGGAACUGCAUUCGAUACUGGCGGGCUAGAGACCGAGAGAGGUGGGUGGAAUACCCAGUGUAGAGGUGAAAUUCGUAGAUAUUGGGUGGAACACCGGUGGCGAAGGCGGCUCACUGGCUCGGUUCUGACGCUGAGGCGCGAAAGCGUGGGGAGCAAACAGG